rnacentral:rRNA from 1 species
GACGAACCGUGCGAACGUUUAUUCGGAAUCACUGGGCUUAAAGCGCGUGUAGGCGGGAAGGCACGUCGGUCGCUGAAAUCCCCCGGCUCAACCGGGGAAGUGGCGCCGAUACGACCUUCCUGGAGGGACGUAGGGGGGCCUGGAACUUCCGGUGGAGCGGUGAAAUGCGUUGAGAUCGGAAGGAACGCCCGUGGCGAAAGCGAGGUCCUGGACGUUUUUUUUCUGACGCUGAGACGCGAAAAGCCAGGGGGAGCAAACGGGG